GUGCAAUAUUGUUGCAGGACCCAUCCUGUACAAAUGCUUCUCCACUCUGCUGCAGCUUCUUCACUUUAGAAGCAUCUGCUAAAAUGGACUUGCGAACUAUUACAUUAUCCUGGAUCUUGGUACUCCCAGUCCAAAAGCUUUCGUUUUCAUUUCUCUCAUAAAAAGCCUCAUUUGAAUUUCUCCUAGUAAAAAACUCCAUUUCUAC
rnacentral:lncRNA from 1 species